rnacentral:rRNA from 1 species
UACGUAGGGUGCAAGCGUUGUCCGGAAUUAUUGGGCGUAAAGAGCUCGUAGGCGGUUUGUUGCGUCGGCUGUGAAAUCCCGAGGCUCAACCUCGGGUCUGCAGUCGAUACGAGCAAACUAGAGUGUUGCAGGGGAGACUGGAAUUCCUGGUGUAGCGGUGAAAUGCGUAGAUAUCAGGAGGAAUACCGAUGGCGAAGGCAGGUCUCUGGGCUGACACUGACGCUCAUGCACGAAAGCGUGGGGAGCAAACAGG